rnacentral:rRNA from 1 species
AACGAACGCUGGCGGCAUGCCUAACACAUGCAAGUCGAACGAGACCUUCGGGUCUAGUGGCGCACGGGUGCGUAACGCGUGGGAACCUGCCCUUAGGUUCGGAAUAACUCCCCGAAAGGGGUGCUAAUACCGGAUAAUGUCUUCGGACCAAAGAUUUAUCGCCUUUGGAUGGGCCCGCGUUGGAUUAGCUAGUUGGUAGGGUAAAAGCCUACCAAGGCGACGAUCCAUAGCUGGUCUGAGAGGAUGAUCAGCCACACUGGGACUGAGACACGGCCCAGACCCCUCGGGGGGGCAGCGGUGGAGAAUAUUGGACAAGGGGCCAACGCCUGACCCCGCAAUGCCGCGUGGGUGAGGAGGCCCUUGGGGUUUAAAACCUUUUUUCCCCGGGAUGAUAAUCACCUCCCGGGGGAAAAACCCCCCGCCUACCCCCGUC